rnacentral:rRNA from 1 species
ACGCUCGACACCUACGGGGGGCAGCAGUUGGGAAUAUUGGACAAUGGAGGAAACUCUGAUCCAGUGACGCCGCGUGAAGGAAGAAGGUCUUCGGAUUGUAAACUUAUUUUGUCAGGGAAGAAAAAUGACUGUACCUGAAGAAAAAGCACCGGCUAACUACGUGCCAGCAGCCGCGGUAAUCUGAGCGGGCUGGCAAGGC